rnacentral:rRNA from 1 species
GUCCUUGCCGUAAACGAUGUAGAUUAGGUGUUGGGGGUGUCGAUCCCCCCCGGCGCCGCAGCUAACGCAUUAAAUCUACCACCUGGGGGAGUACGGUCGCAAGACUGAAACUCAAAGAAAUUGACGGGGACCCGCACAAGCGGUGGAGCAUGUGGUUUAAUUCGAGGCUACGCGAAGAACCUUACCCAGGCUUGACAUGUAGUUGCCUACCCAUGAAAGUGGGUGUCUCCGCAAGGAGCGAUUACACAGGUGCUGCAUGGCUGUCGU